rfam:Myotis lucifugus cont2.8845, whole genome shotgun sequence.
GGCGGUUCUCAGGUGACACACUCCAGAAUCGGGCUCCCUCCUCUCUGGUUCCGACUGCGUCACCCAAGAACCGCU